GGCCUAAACCAGACGGGGUAGCUCUCUGGCAUGGCAUAAACCGGUAAAAGAUAGAGAACCCAUCAUGGGAGCACUUUUACCGGUCCUGUCGGGAAACUGGCAGUGGGUAGCCGAGCUACC
rnacentral:sRNA from 1 species